rnacentral:rRNA from 1 species
UACGAAGGGAGCUAGCGUUGUUCGGAAUCACUGGGCGUAAAGCGCACGUAGGCGGAUGUGUCAGUCAGGGGUGAAAUCCCGGAGCUCAACUUCGGAACUGCCUUUGAUACAGCACGUCUUGAGUCCGAUAGAGGUGGGUGGAAUUCCUAGUGUAGAGGUGAAAUUCGUAGAUAUUAGGAAGAACACCGGUGGCGAAGGCGGCUCACUGGACCGGUACUGACGCUGAGGCGCGAAAGCGUGGGGAGCAAACAGG